CCGCCGGCGACCGGCGCACGGGUGAGUAACACGUAUGCAACCUGCCCCUGUCAGGGGGACAACCCGCCGAAAGGCGGGCUAAACCCGCGUACAUGCCACCGGGGCAUCCCGGAGGCAGGAAAGGCUUCGGCCGGACAGGGAUGGGCAUGCGGCGCAUUAGGCAGUAGGCGGGGUGACGGCCCACCUAACCGACGAUGCGUAGGGGUUCUGAGAGGAAGGUCCCCCACACUGGUACUGAGACACGGACCAGACUCCUACGGAAGGCAGCAG
rnacentral:rRNA from 1 species